rnacentral:rRNA from 1 species
UACGUAGGGUGCAAGCGUUGUCCGGAAUUAUUGGGCGUAAAGAGCUCGUAGGCGGUCUGUCGCGUCUGCUGUGAAAACCUAGGGCUUAACUCUGGGCGUGCAGUGGGUACGGGCAGGCUAGAGUGCGGUAGGGGAGACUGGAAUUCCUGGUGUAGCGGUGGAAUGCGCAGAUAUCAGGAGGAACACCAGUGGCGAAGGCGGUUCUCUGGGCCUUACCUGACGCUGAGGAGCGAAAGCGUGGGGGAGCAAACAGG